rnacentral:rRNA from 1 species
UCGAACGGCAGCAUGGGACUUCGGUCCUGAUGGCGAGUGGCGCACGGGUGAGUAACGCGUACACAACCUACCUAUAACAGGGGGAUAGCCACUGGAAACGGUGAAUAAUACCCCAUAGUAUUACCAAUUUGAUUAAUAGGUAAUUAAAGUUCCGGCGGUUAUAGAUGGGUGUGCGUCCGAUUAGCUAGUUGGUAAGGUAACGGCUUACCAAGGCGACGAUUGGUAGGGGGCGUGAGAGCGUGAUCCCCCACACGGGUACUGAGACACGGACCCGACUCCUACGGGAGGCAGCAGUAAGGAAUAUUGGACAAUGGGGGCAACCCUGAUCCAGCCAUCCCGCGUGUAGGAAGACUGCCCUAUGGGUUGUAAACUACUUUUAGAUAGGAAGAACGGUCCCGAUUUAUCGGGAUAUGACGGUACUAUCAGAAUAAGCACCGGCUAACUCCGUGCCAGCAGCCGCGGUAAUACGGAGGGUGCAAGCGUUAUCCGGAAUCACUGGGUUUAAAGGGUGCGUAGGCGGCCUGGUAAGUCAGAGGUGAAAUGCACGAGCUUAACUGGUGAAUUGCCUUUGAAACUAUCAAGCUAGAAUUAUGUUGAGGUCAGCGGAAUGAGUCAUGUAGCGGUGAAAUGCAUAGAUAUGACUUAGAACACCCAUUGCGUAGGCAGCUGG